GCCCUCGCGGUGCGACGGACGCACAACGCGCUUCGAACGCGAAGACUAUCGGUUCGAAUCCGAUCGAGGGUUC
rnacentral:tRNA from 1 species